AUCUCUUGAGACUUCACUUCAGCUUCACUGACUUCUUGACUCUCCUCUUGAGUAAAAGGACUCAGCCAACUAUGAAGUUUUUUGUCUUUGCUUUAGUCUUGGCUCUCAUGAUUUCCAUGAUUAGCGCUGAUUCACAUGAAAAGAGACAUCAUGGGUAUAGAAGAAAAUUCCAUGAAAAGCAUCAUUCACAUCGAGAAUUUCCAUUUUAUGGGGACUAUGGAUCAAAUUAUCUAUAUGACAAUUGAUAUCCUUAGUAAUCAUGGGGCAUGAUUAUAGAGGUAAGCUGACUCUAGUUGCUUGUCUUUCUAGAAGUGUCAACACUGACAGUUUAAAAAAAAAGCCAUAAGCUAACAACCAUUCCAGUUUAAGAAAUGUAGCAUGGGUUAGCUCCUUGAAGUGUAUUCAUUUGUAUAAAUGCUUCUGAAGCUGUAGAUAUGUGGUGUUAUUUCUGAGGUCUCUGUUCUGUGCCAUUGGUCUGUAUGUUGUUUUGGUACUGGUACCAUGCUGUUUUGGUAACUGUAGCUUUGUAGUAUAGUUUGAAGUCAGGUAGUGUGAUGCCUUCAGCUUUGUUCUUUUGCUUACAAUUGUCUUGGGUAUAUGAGCUUUUCUUUGGAUCCAUAUGA
rnacentral:lncRNA from 10 species